AUUGACGAAGAUGAUGUAGGACAUCGUAAGGAACGUCGUGACGCCGGCGAUCACUUCCGUGCGGACGGUCGUGCCGUGCUCCUUAAGCUU
rnacentral:sRNA from 1 species